UGCAGUCGAACGGCAGCACAGUAAGAGCUUGCUCUUAUGGGUGGCGAGUGGCGGACGGGUGAGGAAUACAUCGGAAUCUACUCUUUCGUGGGGGAUAACGUAGGGAAACUUACGCUAAUACCGCAUACGACCUACGGGUGAAAGCGGAGGACCUUCGGGCUUCGCGCGGUUGAAUGAGCCGAUGUCGGAUUAGCUAGUUGGCGGGGUAAAGGCCCACCAAGGCGACGAUCCGUAGCUGGUCUGAGAGGAUGAUCAGCCACACUGGAACUGAGACACGGUCCAGACUCCUACGGGAGGCAGCAGUGGGGAAUAUUGGACAAUGGGCGCAAGCCUGAUCCAGCCAUGCCGCGUGGGUGAAGAAGGCCUUCGGGUUGUAAAGCCCUUUUGUUGGGAAAGAAAAGCAGUCGGUUAAUACCCGAUUGUUCUGACGGUACCCAAAGAAUAAGCACCGGCUAACUUCGUGCCAGCAGCCGCGGUAAUACGAAGGGUGCAAGCGUUACUCGGAAUUACUGGGCGUAAAGCGUGCGUAGGUGGUGGUUUAAGUCUGUUGUGAAAGCCCUGGGCUCAACCUGGGAAUUGCAGUGGAUACUGGAUCACUAGAGUGUGGUAGAGGGUAGCGGAAUUCCCGGUGUAGCAGUGAAAUGCGUAGAGAUCGGGAGGAACAUCCGUGGCGAAGGCGGCUACCUGGACCAACACUGACACUGAGGCACGAAAGCGUGGGGAGCAAACAGGAUUAGAUACCCUGGUAGUCCACGCCCUAAACGAUGCGAACUGGAUGUUGGGUGCAAUUUGGCACGCAGUAUCGAAGCUAACGCGUUAAGUUCGCCGCCUGGGGAGUACGGUCGCAAGACUGAAACUCAAAGGAAUUGACGGGGGCCCGCACAAGCGGUGGAGUAUGUGGUUUAAUUCGAUGCAACGCGAAGAACCUUACCUGGUCUUGACAUCCACGGAACUUUCCAGAGAUGGAUUGGUGCCUUCGGGAACCGUGAGACAGGUGCUGCAUGGCUGUCGUCAGCUCGUGUCGUGAGAAGUUGGGGUUAAAUCCCGCAACGAGAGCAACCCUUGUUCCUUAUUUGCCACCACGUAAUGGGUGGGGAACUCUUAAGGAGAA
rnacentral:rRNA from 1 species